GCACAAGCGGUGGAUGAUGUGGUUAAUUCGAUGCAACGCGAAAACUUACCCACCUUUGACAUGUACGGAAUCCUCUAGAGAUAGAGGAGUGCUCGAAAGAGAGCCGUAACACAGGUGCUGCAUGGCUGUCGUCAGCUCGUGUCGUGAGAUGUUGGGUUAAGUCCCGCAACGAGCGCAACCCUUGUCAUUAGUUGCUACGAAAGGGCACUCUAAUGAGACUGCCGGUGACAAACCGGAGGAAGGUGGGGAUGACGUCAAGUCCUCAUGGCCCUUAUGGGUAGGGCUUCACACGUCAUACAAUGGUCGGUACAGAGGGUUGCCAACCCGCGAGGGGGAGCUAAUCCCACAAAGCCGAUCGUAGUCCGGAUUGUUCUCUGCAACUCGAGAGCAUGAAGUCGGAAUCGCUAGUAAUCGCGGAUCAGCAUGUCGCGGUGAAUACGUUCCCGGGUCUU
rnacentral:rRNA from 1 species